rnacentral:rRNA from 1 species
UACGUAGGUGGCAAGCGUUGUCCGGAUUUACUGGGCGUAAAGAGCGCGCAGGCGGUCGUUCAAGUCGCGUGUGAAAGCCCCCGGCUCAACUGGGGAGGGUCACGCGAUACUGAUCGACUCGAAGGCAGGAGAGGGAAGUGGAAUUCCGGGUGUAGUGGUGAAAUGCGUAGAUAUCCGGAGGAACACCAGUGGCGAAAGCGGCCACCUGGACUGUACCUGACGCUGACACGCGAAAGCUAGGGGAGCGAACGGG